GAUAAGCUGGGGAAGACCCUUUCACUGCUUGGAAGGCUAGCACCAAUGUUUUGAAUUUGAUGCGAGCCAUGACAGGCAGCCAGUGGAGGGAAGUAAGCAGGGGGGUGACGUGUGAGUAUUUGGGAAGGUUGAAGACCAGACGAGCUGCUGCAUUCUGGAUGAGUUGGAGGGGUCUGAUGGCGGACGCUGGGAGGCCAGCCAAGAGGGAAUUGCAGUAGUCCAGGCGGGACAGAACCAUCGCUUGGACCAGGAGCUGGGUCGAGUAGGGGGUGAGAAAGGGGCGGAUUCUCCGUAUGUUGUAUAGGAAGAACCUGCAAGACCGGGUCACCGCCGCAAUGUUCUCGGAAAGGGACAGUCUGCUGUCCAUCACCACGCCGAGGUUCCUAUGACAAAGACAUGAAAAUAAAGAUCGCAUACAUAAAUGUUUCAGAACUGGACCGGAUACCAUCAUCCUUCCGCAUAGGUGAUUGCUUACAAUCCCUUCGUGAGGUCCUACCCUGCUGAACAACUCUGACACAGAGUGAAACAGCAAUGUCCACUAAAGCUUGUACGUGAGUAUUCAAACUUUGGUUCCCUUCAAACAAUCAAUAAAUAUUUAAAUAAAAAACUUUUAAAAACAUGCAUGAACUUGAUAGAUUUAAAAAAUAACCUGAAGUCCUCUGUUUACUAUAGGACCUAUAGUAUAGUAGUUCACAUUGUCGGGUGUGAUAAGGUUCUAAGGUUUGAGAAUGAAAAUGUAUUGAAGAGAAAUGGAAAGAUCCAACAACUGAUCCAGAACGCCACAGCCCGUCUGUUAUUCAAUGUCCCCAGACAUUCACAAGUCAGCAGCAGAGUCUCUGACCACUUUCAAAUGCAGACUGAUGACUCAUCUCUUCAAGCUGCACCUUUCCCUCCCUAUCUCACCACCAUGAUUAGCCUUGUAUAUGCCAUAGAUUAUAAUGGCAAUUAGAAUACAACAAUAUCUAUAUAUAAUUAUAUAUAUUAGAUAUUGCAUUGUUGUAUUGGUGUGCUAGUUCGUAAGUUCUUCAAGGGUUCCAACUGAAUCAGUCUGGUCACCCUAGGACUCGGAACCGUACUGUCCUCUAGGGUCCACUUCCUUUGUUCAAUCUGGACUUUGUUCUACGUGGCAAUUUCUCACCCAUUACACUUACACCUGCAGCAUGGUUUCACAGAGAGGCCAGGCCGCCCACCACAAGGCAUUUCCCGUUUACUGUGCAACAUUACAGAAAAGGAAAUUCUUGGGUCUGAAUAGUGCAGCUCACACGACAAACUCUCUCCCUCACUCCUCUCUCAAAAGAAUUGUAUUAUCUGAAGAUGUAAAAAUAAAAAUAAACCUUGCCAUUUAGCCACCGUGGAAAGCAAGCCAAUCAUGACACAGACUUUUCUAUCUUUUUAUUAAUAUUUUUUUAGCAAGAAUAAUUUAGAAAUAUUUUGGGGUGAUUUGUGAAUGGGGCAGCACGGAUGGUGCAGUGGGUAGCACUGCCGCCUCACAGCAAGGAUGUCCUGGGUUCGAAUCCCCGUCGGCCGGGGCCUCUCUGUGCGGAGUUUGCAUGUUCUCCCCGUGUCUGCGUGGGUUUCCUCCGGGUACUCCGGUUUCCUCCCACAGUCCAAAGACAUGCAGGUUCGGCUGAUUGGAGAGUCUAAAUUGCCCAUAGGUAUGCCAGGUUUGUCCCUCAAAAUAUGUUGACGCAAGAAAAAAAGCUAUUGAUUUGUGAGAAAAAGCAUCUUUGUUACACAAAGAAAACAAUAGAGAGUAUUAUCUCAUGUAGAAACAGACAACAGACAAAUAUCAAAUAGCAUACAGAUUCAGUUUCAUUGUAGAUUUGUGUGGUAUCCAAUAGUGACAUGCUUACCUGUCAUAUAAGGAACAGGUGGUUGCACCAAUGAGCACACAAACAAUAUCCAAAUAAAUUGCUACCAGUCAUAAAAAUGAGCAGGUGCAAGAACCUGUCAGCCCUUAACAAUAUACCAUAAGUGAAAAACCUGGGGCCUCAUUUAUAAAACAGUGCGUAGGAUUCACGUCAAAAGGUUGUGUACGCAUGAAACCCAGGACGUGCGUACGAACAAAAAAUAUUCUGAUUUAUAAAACAGUGCAUACGCACGUCCCACGCCAGUUUUCCUUUAUAAAUCACAAUCAACUCUAAAUGUGGCGCACCUUUGCCAGCUUCAUGUCCCGCCCACAGUUGCCUAUAAAUAGGCAGUGAAACCCCCCUAAUGAAUAUGCAUUUCACGAAGACGACAAUGGCAAACGCUGAAAAGAAGGCCAAGAAAAGGGAUUUCAGCCAUUUGAUUGCCUCUGAAAAGCUACAGGUGUGGGAAUUAUCCUGAUUGGUUGUAAAUGAGGAACAGUUCUGCACAACGAAUGUGAUGAUGACGAUGAUAAUAAUAAUAAUAAAAAUAAUAAUAAUAAUAAUAAUAAUAAUGAUAAUAAUACACGUUAUUUGUCUAGCACCAUUGGAAACAGUUACAAAAUUAAGAGAUAAAACGAACAAAAAUCCAUAACAAUAAACACAUUAUAAAACAUAAUAUAUGAAUAAGAUAACAAUACAUGAAACUAUGCGCUCGUAUCUGCCCGACUGAGGAUUUGUAAACGGCAUCAGUGCAGCGUAAUUUGUCCGACUGUUCACCAUAUUAUUUAUGAGAAUACAUUUAAUAACAUGAAGUAUUGUUUAACAAUUCGGCUACAUAUUUGAGGGAUUAUUUUACAACAACAUAUCUCCGUUCAUAUUUAUCAUCCUAAAUCAUAUUUUUUGGGCACUCCUGGGAGCAUCAAUCAAACAGCUGUUUGUUUAUUUGUUGUAAGAGAGGCUUUUAUCCGUUUUUGCAAAUUAUCUCUUCAUAUACGAUACGUGAGAGGUAAUAUUUCGAUUUAUUUUACACAGUGGUAUCAAUUUCACACCGUUUCUCGCGUUUCAUCCCUUUGCCAUCGGAGUUGCAGUUUCUCAUUUCUCCAGUUAAUGUGCGUACGCAUGUGUCAGAGUUUCCGUGGAGGACCGCACAUUUUCCCGUCAAGUUCGUUUUUUAUGAAUCCCAAAGUUUGCGUACGCAUUCUUUUGUGCAUACGCAACGUUUAUAAAUGAGGCCCCUGAUCUUUUCAGUUUGUCAUUUUCAGUAGCAAAGAAAAACAAAUUAUGAAAAGAUAUAAUUUGUUUGUGAAAUAAGAAAUGUACUUGUAAUACCCAAUUGUGAUUUGCUUUGAGGAUGUGUUAAAAUAUACUGCUAUAUAUACAAACUAUUGUCACUUUUGUAUCAUUGGGAUAUACAGUGUCUGAAUAUAAAAAACAGAAUGUUUUACUAAGCUUUCAAUGUCUGUUUUAAAUGUCUUUAAAAACAAAGUUUUAAAUUAAUUUAUGUCAAAAGUUUUGUGGGAAUACCAUCUGUUUAAAUAAUUUACAGUGAAAUAUCUUACAGAAGACAAUCUUCGGGCACAUUAGUUAGAACAUCAAAUGAAUUGAAAUUGAAAUUGAGUUUGAGCUUUGGCACAGAAACAACUAAUUCUGUUACUGAUAAAACAGAUCAUUUGAAAAAUGCCUAACAUCUUUCUUUGUUUCUUUUUCCUGGGGCUACUGUGACUCCUGCCCUGAGCUCAUGGACCGCCCCAAACAGAUACCCCCCGCUCUGAGGUCCUGGACCCCUGCAGCCCCUGCAGCCCUGUUCCUCCCCUGGUUCAUAAUAAAGCCAGGGUGAAUGGACCAGCGCCAGCACAAACACUCUGCCUCUUCGUCCGUCAGUUUGUCAGUUGGUCCCUGCACAACUGGAGUUUAUAGUACACUGUGGUCAGUCUGCUGUCAGUUUGCUGAGAGAGAGAGUGGGGAGGGGGAGGGGCAGGGGCAGUGAGAGACAGGAAGAGAGAGGGAGGAAGACAGACAAUGGAAAAUUCCACUGAGGCAGUAAUGGAAACCCCCAUCAGUGAUACAGUCUGCAGUUUAUUACUGUAUUACUGUUUCUGUCUAUAUGUUUUUGUCAGACAACAGAUCCAUCCCUACUAAACAUUAUAUAGAUAGGAAAUAUGCAUUUUUACCUGAUAUAAUAAAAACAUUACACAAAGUAAGCAAUUUCAAUGAAAACAUUUUAUGCAUAUGCCAAAAAUUUACACUAUUGGGCAUAUGCAUUCUUAUCAGGAAUGAACCAGCAUACACUUGAGUGCUGUGUUCUGAAUUGAUUGUGUGCAGAUUUUAACAUAAUGUCAGUGCGUGAGAAAGUGCCUGUUCAUCAGUCAUUUGCUAACCUCAGGAGUCUCUCUCUGGUCAUUGUGACUUAUCUCUGCACAAUUCAGAUCAGGUGCCCACUGUCCCGAAGUGCUUGUAUCUGGAUAUAUAAAGACAGAACGGAGAGAAUAUUAUGACUGCACUUCCCAUAUAACCUCCCUCCCACUGCCACGGGAAAAGAGGGUAAUGUAUGUUCUCUUGGAAAGGUGAUGUGAUAUCAGCCUGUUGUCUGUCUGCUCACUUAUCCCAUAAUGAUACUGAGUUCAGAAUCACUGUCAGCUCCCAAAAUGGUACUGGGUAACUGGAAAGAUAAAGUCUGGCAGAGGAAUGUCCACCAAAUGUAAGCCUCUGUAAUUAUUUAGAAUCAACUGAGAGGUGUGGAUAGUUUUGGUGCCUUUCAUUAUGCUGGUAUUUUUGUGCUUUUGUAUCUGUGCAGGGGAAUAGACUGUGCAGAUGUAUACAGACAUUUCUUCCAGGAAAAUUGUUAAAUACCUGCCUUGUGUAAAAAAGCAUUUUCUUUGCAAAUAAAAUGUUUUUCCCAUCACAA